UACGUAGGGUGCGAGCGUUAAUCGGAAUUACUGGGCGUAAAGCGUGCGCAGGCGGUUUUGUAAGCCAGACGUGAAAUCCCCGGGCUUAACCUGGGAACUGCGUUUGGAACUGCAAGGCUAGAGUGCGGCAGAGGAAGGUGGAAUUCCUGGUGUAGCAGUGAAAUGCGCAGAUAUCAGGAGGAACACCGAUGGCGAAGGCAGCCUUCUGGGCUAGCACUGACGCUCAUGCACGAAAGCGUGGGGAGCAAACAGG
rnacentral:rRNA from 1 species